rnacentral:rRNA from 1 species
GACGAACGCUGGCGGCGUGCCUAAUACAUGCAAGUUGAGCGCUGAAGGUUGGUACUUGUACCAACUGGAUGAGCAGCGAACGGGUGAGUAACGCGUGGGGAAUCUGCCUUUGAGCGGGGGACAACAUUUGGAAACGAAUGCUAAUACCGCAUAAAAACUUUAAACACAAGUUUUAAGUUUGAAAGAUGCAAUUGCAUCACUCAAAGAUGAUCCCGCGUUGUAUUAGCUAGUUGGUGAGGUAAAGGCUCACCAAGGCGAUGAUACAUAGCCGACCUGAGAGGGUGAUCGGCCACAUUGGGACUGAGACACGGCCCAAACUCCUACGGGAGGCAGCAGUAGGGAAUCUUCGGCAAUGGACGAAAGUCUGACCCGAGCAAACGCCGCGUGAGUGAAAGAAAGGUUUUUCGGAUCGUAAAAACUCUGUUGGU